rnacentral:tRNA from 1 species
GCGAAUGUAGCUCAAUUGGUGGAGCACCAGAUUGUGGUUCUGGGUGUCGUGGGUUCGAUUCCCAUCAUUCGCCCCA